AUUGAACGCUGGCGGCAGGCCUAACACAUGCAAGUCGAACGAGUGGCGGACGGGUGAGUAAUGUCUGGGAAACUGCCCGAUGGAGGGGGAUAACUACUGGAAACGGUAGCUAAUACCGCAUACCAUCGGUUCUGCCCAGAUGGGAUUAGCUAGUGGGUGGGGUAACGGCUCACCUAGGCGACGAUCCCUAGCUGGUCUGAGAGGGUGACCGGCCACACUGGAACUGAGACACGGCCAAGACUCCUACGGAAGGCAGCAGUGGGGAAGAUUGGACAAUGGGCGAAAGCCUGAUCGAGCAAGGCGGCGUGUGUGAAGAAGGUCUUCGGAUGGAAAAGCACUUUAAGUUGGGAGGCGUUACCAACAGAGUAAGCAACGGCUAACUUCGUGCCAGCAGCCGCGGUAAUUC
rnacentral:rRNA from 1 species